CGCCGCAGUAUUAUGACUGUGCUAAGGUAGCAUAAUAAUUUGUCUUUUAAAUGGGGACUGGAAUGAAAGGUUUUAUGGGGGUAUGUUAAUGAUUUAAUGAGUUAUUGAAGUUAAGGUUUAAGUUAAAAUUCUUAAAAUUAUUUGAGGGACGAGAAGACCCUGUGGAUCUUUAUUUUACGUAUAAUAAAUUAUUAUAAAUGUUUUAUUAUUUUAAAAAUUUGAUUGGGACGAUUAUUAUUUUAACAUGAUUUUGAGGGUUUAUGUUGAUCCUAUAAAAGGAAUUAAGAUUAAGUUACCCCAGGGAUAACAGCGUUAUAUUAUUGGAUAGUUCAUAUUGAUAAUAAUGUUUGCGACCUCGAUGUUGAAUUAAAAUUUCUUUUUAAAGUAGAAGUUAAAUUAGUAAGUCUG
rnacentral:rRNA from 1 species